rnacentral:rRNA from 1 species
UACGUAGGGUGCAAGCGUUAAUCGGAAUUACUGGGCGUAAAGCGUGCGUAGGCGGUUUGUUAAGUCCGCUGUGAAAGCCCUGGGCUCAACCUGGGAAUUGCAGUGGAUACUGGCAAGCUAGAGUGCGGUAGAGGAUGGUGGAAUUCCCGGUGUAGCGGUGAAAUGCGUAGAGAUUGGGAAGAACACCAGUGGCGAAGGCGGCUAUCUGGACGGUUUCUGACACUAAGACUCGAAAGCGUGGGGAGCAAACAGG